ACAAAAGACCCGCAAAAAAUAAUUCCUAAUUUUUUUUUGGGUUUCCCGCCUCUCUGUCCUUAGCCUCUUCUCUGCUUCACCAAUUUUCAUCUCUCUUCCCCUCUCUGGUUCUUCUCUUCCUUUCUUGUUCUCUGGGCAAGACUGUGAAACCACAACACUCACUGCACACACCUCACUGCUGCCCCCCCAAGCGUCGUCGGUGUUGUUCCCUCACCCAUCGCCGGCUUUGUUCCCCUCCUCCACCGCGUCGCAGCUUCUCCUACACGGCGUCGCAGCUGCUCCUCCUCCACCUCCACCUUGGUAUAGAAAAACUUGGAAACCUCCAAUGUUAUUUUUCCUCUUGCAGUGGUCAUACUAAUGAGUAGGAACUGGCUAACCAAGUGGGGUUAUUGCAAGCACAUUCAGAAGCGCAUAAGCUACUGAGGUGCACCUUUGGAAUUAACUGUUCCAAGUAUUUUGUUUUCUAAACAUUUCAUAUUGGUGUGUGUUAUGCUUUAAAGUAUUGCAACUUGGACUGAACUUUUUGUUUAUAUAUGUGCCUCUUCUUUUCUCGUCUACUGUUGAGUUGUUAUGGUUUUUCGAAAUCCUAGCUCAAUCUGGUAGUAAUAUAUUUUCUUCUCUAUGCAAAUCCUACUUUUGGAUACACAGGCCUAGGAAGAUAAAGAGAGGGAAGAGUUUCAUUACGGUUGAAUUCUUGAGUCACCUAUAAGGUAUUCAAUAAUCCGAGGGAGCGACCUUUCACCUUUGAGGACAUAGAUGAAGUUCGAGAAAUGUUGACAAACUUCAUUACCAGUGAUUGUCUUUGAUAUUUUCUUGGACUGAAUCUUAAAUUAUGGAUUCUAGCUAGUUUUUCAUGACUGUAAUAUAAUCGAUUUUUAUAUUUACAAUUAUAUACUAUUUAAUUUAAUUAUCUAUAUAAUUGGAUACUUUUUAUAUGUCA